rnacentral:tRNA from 5 species
GGUAAGAUGGCUGAGUGUUAAGCGGUGGAUUGUAGCCCCACGGACAGAGGUUCAAAUCCUCUUCUUAUCA